GUUGUUUGGAAAAGCCAAUAUGCAAACUGCUCAGUCUGCGCCUGGCCCCCGCCCCACGAGGCCCCAUUAGCAGCCACUUUCCCAAAACAGCCCGCCCGCUUUGGAAGGUUCCUUUCUAUUCAACCCGAGCAGGGCCCAGCAGCAGCCUGCUUGCCAGGUCCUGAGCUCGGAAAGACAAAGGGCCGCGAUUGAAUUUUCUCGGCGCAGAAUCUGAAGAUGUUGUUUACUCUAGAGAAUGGUCUGAAGCGCUCGGCCCGAGGGUGCAGUCUCUCUAGCCGCUCACCCGCCAUUAGUCAUAACUUAAGAAAAGCCGUAAACGGGCUGCGAAGGCGCAGCGAUUGCCUUAGUUCACUCCAAGAAAAGGGGUUUCUUUAUCUUAUUUUAUUUUCUAGAAAAUGCCUUCUGAGAUGAGGUCCAGCAUCCAGCAGAGGCAGACUUGGGGAUUUGAAGAGGUGGAUUCGAAUCCUGCUCUGGUUUUUGUUAGCUAUAGGACCUGAUGUGGCUUCUUGCAGUUAGAGCUUAAGUGGUUCUCUCAGAAAUGACAGCAUAGUAGACAUGUCUGGUUUCCUCCAGUGUUUAUCCUUUGGAAAGAACCCUCAUUUUCAUCAAGGACCCACCUGCCCUUCUGGGUCCAGAGUGAGAUCCUGAUCGCUUCAAGUCAGUAAUGAUGCUCCCCACCCCUGCCUCGGGGGCCAUAUGAUACAACUCUAGUCAGAGCUUUGAGUGGAAAUAGUUCUAGGAGUUUCUAGGAAUAAUUUCCCCCCAUUUAAGAAAGAGUCCCAUGGAAGCCAAGAGGUAAGUUUGCCUGAAGAAGCUAACAUGCUAAAGUUGUCAAGAAUGAAGGAAAAGGGGGAGGGGGAGUUGUUGAUACUGAAAAAACAGGAUAGCCACAGGGCUUGGUGGACCCUUAACUUAUAUGCCCGGGAACCCCAAGAACCCCAGGAGAGAAACAAGUAUGGAAAAAAGAAUGGAGAAAGGUUUCUAAAGACAGGUUUAACUAUGGAAGGAAGAUCCACCCUAAUGUUGACAGCACCAUCCCGUGCUGCUGGGGUCAGACUGAAUACAGAGGAAAGGGGGAAAUGGGAAGCUGAGUGCAGCCUUCAUCUCUGCUCCCUGCAUCUCUCACAUUCAAGCCACCGAGGAGCCUUCCCUGCCAUGCUGGACUGCACCUUCAACUGUGAGCCAAAUACUUCCUCAAGUUGCUUGCCAGACCAUAGGUGUGAUACUAGCUGCUUCAAGCUCCUGCUGCCUUGAGUACUCUACAACAGACCUGCAAUACUGAAAAGGAAAG
rnacentral:lncRNA from 1 species